CAUCCUCAUUUAAUAUAACCUGUUUUCAAAGGAUAUCUAUAAAAGGAAAUAGGCAAACUCACUGAGGGUUUUUGUUAACAUGGGCAGAUUGAUGAUAUUUAAACAAAUCUGUUAAUUACCUAAUUUCUUUGUCCCUUGAAUCUAGGGUAGAACAAUGCAAAAUUAUGUGCAGAUGGUAACAUACUGAAGUCAUAUUGCAUCUGAGGAAAAAAGCAGGUUGGCUCAUUAGGAAAAAAUAACAAUCAAAUUCAUAGGAGGUUAUGAUUCAUAGGCAGUUUUGUCUGUGUGAAAAGCAAGUAGAUGAAUGCUGGGCUGUUUUUCUUAAACACUUCUGGUACGAAUGCCCAUCAAUUGUGCUAACCUGACUUUCUUGACUGACUUUCUUUAUAGCCUGAUUCAUCACCAGCCAUUUAAGCAAAGAAUGUGGCUUGAUCCUUGCAAGUGCUUGAUAGCAUAACGGCAAGAGUAUUUCUUUCAUUAGUGAAUAAUGCUAAUUAAAGCUAAUCAACACAAGCAGAACAAAGAUGAAGCUCUAUAACUUUACUUAAACAAGCAGUGCUCGAAAUGAGCAAAGCAAAAGACCAAUUUUUUUUAAAAAGUGAGAGUUUAAAACACCCACCACUUUGAUCCUGCUUCAGGUGUUGUUUUUGGAACGAAACUAUUGUUCUCCUAUGCUGAGAAUUGGGCAAAGUAAAUAUGCCCCUGUUGGACUUCUCAGCAGAAUCUUAGCUACUAUAUGCCUUAGAUGGGAUUGGGAGGCAUCAUUUUGAAAUGGUUCCAGUUGUUUUUUGGAGUGGGGUAAGACCCUACUCCAGAAGACUCCAUUUCUGGUGGACACUUCAAUGGCAUAUGGUGACCCAUAAGGAUCAGCUUUGUUUCCUCAUUAUAUUUAGCAUCUACAUGGAAUCACUGGGACAAUUUUUGUGGGGGAGGGGGGAGUUUUGCAUCCCAGAAGCAAGACAGCAAGCUGGAAAGCCAGAGAGGCAGAGAAAUGGUUGAACUCUGCUGGAAUCCAAGGCUGUGGCUAUGGGAGAGGCAAGACCCUUUUGGGGUGUAAAUGCUGUGGACCCUCUACUGCAAGCUCAGGUUGUAUAUACAUGUAAAUAAACCAUAUAUCGUAAAGACACCACCAUCUCUGCUGUGCCUCAUUCCCAAAAGGAAACAAGAACCCUGGGUAAGCACUUGGAACCCCUGGAAUCUGGCACUGUUUGGAGUGGCGUGCAACAAUAUUAUAUAUCACAUAUUAUUAUGAUUUCUUACCCCCCCUUUCAUCCUAAGCUCCCCGGGCAAUUAAAUAUAACAAUUAAAACACAGUAUCAGAAACGCUUUAAUCUACUUCUCCCUACCUAAGUCUCAAAGCAGCUUACAAUGAUAAGAAAUAUACAAUAUAUAAAAUUUAAAUAUAUAAAUUCAGCCUCAGAAAUUUAAAGCCUCAGAAAUUUGAAAUCUCAGGAAUUUGAACGAAUAACAUCAGAAUAUUUUAAAACAUCAGGAAAGCAUUCAUGAUGCAAGGACCUUUUGAAAAAAAGUGCUUUAACCGAGUAUCUGAAACUCAGCAGGGAUGGUGCCUGUCUGACUUCCAGUAGGAGGAAGUUCCACAGAGAUGGCUCCACAACACAGAAGACACGACUUCUAAUACUAAUAGUGCUCCCCAGGGCUUUUUUCCCAGAGGGAACUCACUGGAACUCAGUUCCAGCAUCUCUUGGGUAGGUGCUGAGAAAGAGAGAGGUGUUCAUGGUGAGUUCCAGCACCUCUUUUUCUAGAAAAAUAGCACUGGUGCUUCCCCAGGUGAUCUCAGUGAUCCACUUGGAAUGUACAGGGUAAGGUGGUCCUUAGGCUGGAGCUCCUACUUCACCUGUACCUCAAAAUGUAAGACCUGGCCGCAGUAAUUCAUACAGCUUAGUUACAUGCAGGUUGGAUUAUUGUAGUAUGUUCAACAUGGAGUUGCCUUGAAGGUGACAUUGGUAGGGUUGCCAUAAUUCAAACAGUGAAAAUCCGGACGGAAAAGUUGUUGAGCUAGACACUGGGAAACUUUAAAAUGUAGCUGCAAGUCUCAUGCUCGUGGGUGCUUGGCCAUGGGGUCGUAUGUCACCCAUUCUACUACAACUGCACUAGUUGCCAAUGUAUUUCCAAGCAUAAGCCAUAGUGUUGGUGGUUAUCUUUAAAACCUUAAACGGCUUGGCUCUAAAAUACUCAAGGAACCACUUCUUCCUGCAACAGCCUGCCUAAUCUCUAUGUUCUGGUUUUUGUGUUCUCCUUCCUGCAACCAGCAUUAUGUAAGACCUUAUCCUGGGAGGUUUAUUUGGCCUCCUCCCUCACUGCUUUCCAUCGAUUGGUGAAAACAUUUCUGUUCCAGCAAGUUUCUGCCUGGCAGGUGGUGUAUUAUACAGUGCACUCUGUUCGGGGGGUUUGUAUGCUGUGCCUGUUUUAAUUUUUUAUAUUGGCUUGUUUUAUAUUGUUCUUUUAUUAUGGGAAUCAAUAGUUAGCAUCUGGACAGCAUACUGUAUUUUAGCCGUCAGCUGCUCUUAGCAGUGCAAAAGCAUUCGAAGGGUGAGGUACACAUUUCUAAAUAAAUAAUCCAUAUUUCCUUUAUCAACAUCCAUGCUCCAGUCUAGAGUCAGAAAACUCUCUCUCUCUCUCUCUCUCUCUCUCUCUCUCUCUCUCUCUCUCUCUCACACACACACACACACACACACACGGCUUCUUUUAUGCUGAAGGGAUUAUUCAUUCACUUCACUAGAGCAGAAAAUGUCCCUCUUGGUCCCCUUACUUUCUCUUCAGUUGAAACGAAUGAAGAUGUCUCUUCAUGCAAUAACUUCUUCACUAUCAUCAUCAUCAUUAAUGUGCUCAUAGAAGUAGUUAGGCUGUGAACAAGGGCUAAGGCUGCAAUUCAGGUAAAUUCAUUUACCUGAGAGCAAGCCCUAUGGAACUCAAUGAGACUUCCUUCUGAGUAGGCAUGUCAAAUUUAAACAACAAUAAUAAUUCCCUCUCCAUCUUCCCACACAGUGAUUUACCAAGUGAACUUUAAAAGAUUUGCAAAGUAGUCAUUGUUGUUAGACCUCUAUUAUUUAUUAAUUUAACAUCCUUUUUUAAAAGAAUGAAUGAACGAAACACUUUCCCAAGGCAACUCACAGCAUUAAAAUAGCGUAACAGCAACACACCAAUUAAAUAUGUUCGUGGCUGCAACAGCAUAACUAUAUACAAAAGCACCAUAAAACACACUUGUAAAAAGCCUUAUGGGUUGUUUUGAAAUUAAGUUCUCAAUGGGCAUCUAAAGACAGGAAAAGGGGAGGCUUGAUGAGUUUCCCUGGGUAGAAAGUUCUAUAGCUGUGCAGAUACCAUUGAAGGUUGUCUUCUUGGGAUCUGCCUGUUCAGUUCUAGCUAGUGAUGGGCUGGAGAAUAGGGCCGCAGAAGGCUUGGAUAGGUUUCUAUAGGUGCAUGCUUUCAAGGUGGUCGUUCCAAUGGCAAAAGUAACAAAGACUUCAGUGCCAUAUGAUCAAGACUUGUCAACUGGAAUUAAUAAAGGCUGAGGUAUCGCCUUAUUUCUCUGAGGAUCCCAAAGAAGUAUGGAACAAAGCUUUCCCAUAUGUUUCAGCAGCAGCCCUGAAUGCACACAUUUAUCCUGUGAAAAGAUUGCCACUAGUCACCUACAGUACUGAAUCAAAGUUCUCCAUUAAAAUUGCCUCAAAGUGAAAUUACUAUGUCACCAUUUCAGAAGGAUUAGUGGGCACUGCACAUUAGUCUUUCACUUUCCAAAGGAGCAUUGGACUUCCAAUACAUUCCUGAUUUCACCCAACCUCUUUUAAAUUCCCCCCCCCCUUAAAUGGAGGAUUCAGAGACAACAGGAGGGUGAUGGCAACCAGUUGUGCACUGGUAGCAAGGAAUGAAUGUACCAAUCUAUCUGUGACUGAACCCAAGAAUAAAUGGGUGAGAUGUGAGGAGUUGAACUAGGGUCAUAUUUUAUUUAAACUAAAUCUACAGAGUGGGAACCUAACUUAAGCUCAACCUUGGGUGAGUCAAGCCCUGCCCAUUUCAAGGCGCAUGACAAGACUCAGCUCCAAAGCAAGGGCCCCUUCCUGCCCAACCCUAUCCAAGGCCCCAUAACUCAGGGAAGAUGUGGCAGGUGGGUCUCCAGAACAGGCUAAGGGCUUGUCCACACCAGGCCUAGGAAGCAUGGGCCAGAGUGGUUUUCAGCUUGUCCUGUGCUAUCUAGACAUGGGUCCAAGUGGUUUUGCCUUUGCCCUUCUGCUUUCCCUCCAGGAAACCUGCUCUGUGGAAAACUCGAUUGCCAUUUGAUAUGAUUCAGCACUAAAGCAUGGGUUUUCCAGGGGAAAGAAGUGGGGCAAAUGGAAGUGUUGAUGAACCCUAUGACCUUCACAAUACAUAGCAGUGCCUAAGGGUGCUCACCUGUUGCCUUAUCUAACCUUAACCUUUCCCACACCUCCUUGCCAGCAAUAUAACUGACUUAACCAUGAAACCACGCCUAUCUAUUUAACCUCUAAAUAUGAACACCUCCUGAAUCCAGUACAGAGUAGGGGGGGGGAACCCGUUUGCCCAAAUGUGCAAGCAGGCAAAAAUAUUCUACUCAGAUUCAUAUGUAAAGCUCUCAGCUGAAAGAACAUUGUGAUGUUGCAUCAAUGAUUUACAUGGACAGAUCGCUCAUAUGCCAUUUGAUUGUGAUCUAAAACUGGAGGAAUUUUUCUAACUUUCUGUUUUUCUUCUAAAUGCCAGAUUGCCACACAUUACAUUGUUCCAAAUGGCUGUCUAUUACUAGGCAGCUCUCUUGGAUGAUCUCUGAAAUUGGAUUGAGGAGCCAACCACCUUUGGUAGCCAUUUUCAUGGAAGACGUUACAAUGAUUUAUGUCAACUUAUUCUACGGAGCAGCAACCAAGGAAAAUGAUUCCUGGCACUCAGGGGUCUUUUGGUUUGCAAACUAUCCAUUUUCAUAGCAGAUUACUGUUUUAUGAGGCUCUUUAUCCCCCAAAAAAGCUUUCUGUUAGAAAUGAUAAAUGGCUUUUCUUU